AGCGGCAGACGGGAGAGUAACACGUGGGAACAUUCCCUUUGGUUCGGAAUAACUCAAGGAAACUUGAGCUAAUACCGGAUACGCCCUUACGGGGAAAGAUUUAUUGCCGAAGGAUUGGCCCGCGUCCGAUUAGCUAGUUGGUGAGGUAACGGCUCACCAAGGCGACGAUCGGUAGCUGGUCUGAGAGGAUGAUCAGCCGCAUUGGGACUGAGACACGGCCCAAACUCCUACGGGAGGCAGCAGUGGGGAAUAUUGGACAAUGGGCGCAAGCCUGAUCCAGCCAUGCCGCGUGGGUGAUGAAGGCCUUAGGGUUGUAAAGCCCUUUCGGCGGGGAAGAUAAUGACGGUACCCGCAGAAGAAGCCCCGGCUAACUUCGUGCCAGCAGCCGCGGUAAUACGAAGGGGGCUAGCGUUGCUCGGAAUCACUGGGCGUAAAGCGCACGUAGGCGGACUCUUAAGUCGGUGGUGAAAUCCUGGAGCUCAACUCCAGAACUGCCUUCGA
rnacentral:rRNA from 1 species